rnacentral:rRNA from 1 species
UACGUAGGGUGCGAGCGUUAAUCGGAAUUACUGGGCGUAAAGCGUGCGCAGGCGGUCUCGCAAGUCAGAUGUGAAAUCCCCGGGCUUAACCUGGGAACUGCGUUUGAAACUACGGGGCUAGAGUGCGGCAGAGGGGGGUGGAAUUCCACGUGUAGCAGUGAAAUGCGUAGAUAUGUGGAGGAACACCGAUGGCGAAGGCAGCCCCCUGGGCCGACACUGACGCUCAUGCACGAAAGCGUGGGGAG